CGGCGACGGGUGAGUAACGCGUGGGCAACCUGCCUUACACAGGGGGAUAACAGUUAGAAAUGACUGCUAAUACCGCAUAAGACCACAGGACUGCAUGGUCCGGUGGUAAAAACUCCGGUGGUGUAAGAUGGGCCCGCGUCUGAUUAGGUAGUUGGCGGGGUAACGGCCCACCAAGCCGACGAUCAGUAGCCGACCUGAGAGGGUGACCGGCCACAUUGGGACUGAGACACGGCCCAGACUCCUACGGAAGGCAGCAG
rnacentral:rRNA from 1 species